GACGAACGCUGGCGGCGUGCUUAACACAUGCAAGUCGAACGGAAAGGCCCUGCUUUUGUGGGGUGCUCGAGUGGCGAACGGGUGAGUAACACGUGAGUAACCUGCCCUUGACUUUGGGAUAACUUCAGGAAACUGGGGCUAAUACCGGAUAGGAGCUCCUGCUGCAUGGUGGGGGUUGGAAAGUUUCGGCGGUUGGGGAUGGACUCGCGGCUUAUCAGCUUGUUGGUGGGGUAGUGGCUUACCAAGGCUUUGACGGGUAGCCGGCCUGAGAGGGUGACCGGCCACAUUGGGACUGAGAUACGGCCCAGACUCCUACGGGAGGCAGCAGUGGGGAAUAUUGCACAAUAGGCGGAAGCCUGAUGCAGCAACGCCGCGUGCGGGAUGACGGCCUUCGGGUUGUAAACCGCUUUCGCCUGUGACGAAGCGUGAAUGACGGUAAUGGGUAAAGAAGCACCGGCUAACUACGUG
rnacentral:rRNA from 1 species